CNAAUUUUCGGUAGACGCUACGGACUUAAAAUCCGUCGAUUUUUUAAAUCAUGAGGGUUCAAGUCCCUCUAUCCCCA
rnacentral:tRNA from 1 species